rnacentral:rRNA from 1 species
GAUGAACGCUAGCUACAGGCUUAACACAUGCAAGUCGAGGGGCAGCAUUUUAGUUUGCUUGCAAACUAAAGAUGGCGACCGGCGCACGGGUGAGUAACACGUAUCCAACCUGCCGAUAACUCGGGGAUAGCCUUUCGAAAGAAAGAUUAAUAUCCGAUGGUAUAUUAAAACCGCAUGGUUUUACUAUUAAAGAAUUUCGGUUAUCGAUGGGGAUGCGUUCCAUUAGUUGUUGGCGGGGUAACGGCCCACCAAGACUACGAUGGAUAGGGGUUCUGAGAGGAAGGUCCCCCCACAUUGGAACUGAGACACGGUCCAAACUCCUACGGGAGGCAGCAGUGAGGAAUAUUGGUCAAUGGACGAGAGUCUGAACCAGCCAAGUAGCGUGAAGGAUGAAGGUCCUACGGAUUGUAAACUUCUUUUAUACGGGAAUAAAGUAUCCUACGUGUAGGAUUUUGUAUGUACCGUAUGAAUAAGCAUCGGCUAACUCCGUG